rnacentral:lncRNA from 1 species
CCGCCCGCCCCUCCAAGUAGUUAAUUGAUCAGUACGGUGGUCUCCCUUCUGUGAUUCGCUAUCUCUAGGUUCCUGGGCGGUCCAGUAGUGGUUUCAAUGGGCACGAAACCGUUUGUACAUCCAGCUCCUCAGUACAAAACCAUAGAAACCUUUUGGGACGAGGAAGAAGACGCCCCUGGUCCUAGAUGCGCUCAUACACUUACAGCCGUUGCAGCUACCAAGACUCACGGCCCUCAUCUCAUACUCUUCGGCGGCGCCACCGCUAUUGAGGGCGGGAACUCUCCCUCCGUACCUGGGAUCAGUAAGUAUCCUUGAUGGAUUAAACUUGAAUCUCGGAUUUUGAUCUGAUGCUGGGGGUUGUUUUCUAGGGUUAGCUGGUGUCACCAACUCGGUUCAUUCUUAUGAUGUUCUCACUAGGAAGUGGACAAGGUAAAUAGAGAGACACACACACACAUUCAUUCUCAUGUGUUUUUCUUUCUUUUUUUGGUUUACUGUUUUCUUGAAACCGGAUUUGUGUAGGCUUAAACCGGCUGGUGAGCCUCCUUCCCCUAGGGCUGCUCACGCCGCAGCUGCUGUUGGCACCAUGGUCGUUUUUCAGGUUUUUUAUAUGAUCAGACCAUUUAAUUGUCAGUUAGCACUGUCGACACAUACAUAGUUUAUGUUUGGUCGAUUAACAGGGUGGCAUUGGCCCAGCCGGGCAUUCUACGGAUGAUCUUUACGUUCUUGACAUGACUAAUGAUAAGUACAAGUGGCAUAGGUGAGAGAUUCUUUCUCAGCCUUGCUAUUUAUUGUAUUGAUGUUGAUGAUGAGAGACAGUAUUAUAUUCUUGCCUGUGUGUCCAGGGUGGUAGUUCAAGGGGAGGGUCCAGGCCCUCGCUAUGGUCAUGUUAUGGAUUUAGUUUCUCAGAGGUAUCUUGUCACCGUCACCGGAAAUGAUGGUAAGGAUUUAUUAUCCGACUUUUCAUUAGCUUUGCUUCAUAAUUUCUGUUUUCCUCUGUAAGGGAUGGGGACCAUCAGAGAAUGCUACUUAGAUAUAUGUAUAUGUAUUUUUUUUGCUUUCGACUUUAUAUCUUCUUAGAUUCUGUUGAAAUAUUUUUGUUCAUCUAUGUAUGGAACAGGGAAACGAGCUCUCUCUGACGCUUGGGCAUUGGAUACAGCUCAGAAACCAUAUGCAUGGCAGAGACUGAACCCUGAUGGUGACCGACCAAGUGCUAGGAUGUUAGUAAAUCUACUUCAUUUGAAUUUUUAAUGUAAGAACAUCCUAAACUUUCAUACUUCGAUAUUCCUCCUGUGCACAGGUAUGCUUCUGGCAGUGCUCGUUCUGAUGGCAUGUUUUUACUCUGCGGGGGAAGAGACACCUUGGGGGUGGUAUAAUUAUCUUCUCCGCUACUUUUCUUCUGUGUAUUGGAAGUAUUAGACUUCUCUUUCGAGGAUAGGGAUAUAUAUAUAUUAAUUUCGAAGUUAUUGUGCGGUAUGGUCUCAAUAUUAAGACGUUUAUCUCCUCCAUGCGUAUCCCUUUAACAUGGUCCGUGCAUCUAUCUGCAGCCACAGGGAGAUGCUUACGGUUUACUCAUGCAUAGAAAUGGUCAGUGGGAAUGGACUCUGGCUCCAGGUGUGGCCCCUUCUCCAAGAUACCAGCAUGCAGCGGUAACCUAAAUCUUACUCUAGUCUCAAAACCCAUGGAAAAUAAGUUCUCAAGUGUAGACUGACUGCACGUUGUAUGUAGCCUUAGAAACUAAGUCAAACACUUAUUUGGGUAUAAGAAAGAUAAAAAAGGAUUGGUGAGGAGUUGAAUUUCAAUGGACAAUACAGUGCUCUAAUCAUAUCCGUUUGAUUGUUUUUCUCAUCAGGUAUUUGUAGGUGCAAGAUUGCAUGUCAGCGGUGGCGUUCUGAGAGGAGGCCGCGUGAUAGAUGCUGGAGCAUGUGUUGCAGGUAUUCAAUGACUGUUUUCCUACCAAGUAAUUUUGGUGUUUCACAAGCCUCCCCUGGAGUUACUCACUCGUAGCCAUUUUUCAGUAUUGGUAGUUAUGAUGAAAUCUUUAUUCUCGCAGUGCUUGAUACUGCUGCCGGUGUAUGGUUGGACAAAAAUGGGCAAGUGACCUCUGCGCGUGGCAGUAAAGUACAAAUGGAUCAAGAUCCGUCUUUUGAACUUAUGAGACGCUGUCGCCAUGGUGCUGCAUCAGUUGGUAUCCGUAUCUAUGUACAUGGUGGUCUUAGAGGAGGUUAAAUUGAUUCUUGGGACACUUGCAUUUCUCUGAGUUUAGUGAAUGCCUUUCUAAGUUGCCCUACUUUUAUUCACCUCGCAGAUGUGUUGCUUGACGAUUUUCUAGUCGCUGAAAAUUCAACAUUCCAGUCAGACAUCAGUUCUCCUCUGUCAGCAUCAUCAGAUAGAACCCAACAAAGCUCUACUCCCAGGUUUUCUUAUGCCGCACGACCUCCUUCAGGCUCUGAACCAGCAUCCGAAGGAAUGAGGUUUUCUUACACUCUUCUUCUUGCCUUUGUGCUUUAACUUUAUUAUCUAAGUUGUUCGAUCGUUACAUAUCUAUCUAUCAGCUUGGAUGAAAAUUCCUUGGAGAAAUUGACGGAGGCUUCUGCGGCCGAAGCCCAAGUAGCUAGUUCUGUUUGGCGAGCUGCACAAUUAAGUUCUGCUUCUCUAGAUGAAGAACCCUCUGCAUCUGAUGGCAGCUCUCCAACAGUAGAAACCAUUACUGAUUAUCCUGAAACUGAAGGAGAUGUCCGGCUUCAUCCAAGAGCUGUAUGUUACUUAAUCCCCAAUUAUUAAUAUUUCUUUUGGUUUCUUUUAUAUCCAUUUGAUUACCAAAAAAAAUGGCCUUACUACCUCAUUUUAUAGGUUGUGGUAGCAAAGGAGACGGUAGGCAGUCUAGGCGGCAUGGUGAGACAGCUAAGCUUGGAUCAGUUUCAGAACAGCAAACAAUUGAAUAAUGCGAGUUUUUGGUACUUAUUAAUCCAUUGAACGUAUCAACCUCAGGUAUAUUGAUUAUUUAUUUUUGGGAGAUUAUGUCGACCGGGGGCAACACAGCCUGGAGACUAUAACUUUGCUGCUUGCAUUGAAGGCAAGACGGUGCCUAAUAUCAUAUCAUCCAUAUUACUAGUUUCAUUAUAAAUUGUGUUUACGGUCCUUUGCAGAUUGAAUAUCCGGAGAAUGUUCACUUGAUUCGUGGAAAUCACGAGGCUGCUGAUAUCAAUGCCCUAUUUGGUUUCCGUCUUGAGUGCAUAGAAAGACUGGUAUAUUGUCAUUUUUCUCUAGAUUUUCUGCUUGGGUUGACUAAGCCUGCUUUUUACAUUUUUUUUAUCAGGGAGAGAAUGAUGGGAUCUGGGCGUGGACAAGAUUCAAUCAACUUUUCAAUUAUCUUCCCCUGGCUGCUCUCAUCGAGAACAAAAUUAUAUGUAUGCAUGGUGGGAUUGGGAGGUCAAUCAGUUCAAUGGAGCAGAUCGAAAAAAUCGAAAGGCCAAUAACAAUGGAUGCUGGAUCCCUUAUUCUUAUGGAUUUAUUAUGGUAACACGUCCUUUAUGCUCCUGCUUUAAAUAUUGAUCUCUUUAUCUUACAUUACCAUGUUAUAAUUUAAUAUUUUUGAAGUAUAGGUCUGAUCCUACAGAGAAUGAUAGUAUAGAGGGUUUGAGACCAAACGCCAGAGGACCCGGACUUGUCACGUUUGGGGUAAAAACACAUUCCCUUAUCGUCUGUUAUUCAUUAAUAUAAUCCUUUUGGGACCAACCACUGAGGUUGUUAUAAGUCUUGAUAAUUGAUGGAUGCUGGAUCCCUUAUUCUUAUGGAUUUAUUAUGGUAACACGUCCUUUAUGCUCCUGCUUUUAAUAUUGAUCUCUUUAUCUUACAUUACCAUGUUAUAAUUUAAUAUUUUUGAAGUAUAGGUCUGAUCCUACAGAGAAUGAUAGUAUAGAGGGUUUGAGACCAAACGCCAGAGGACCCGGACUUGUCACGUUUGGGGUAAAAACACAUUCCCUUACCGUCGGUUAUUCAUUAAUAUAAUCCUUUUGGGACCAACCACUGAGGUUGUUAUAAGUCUUGAUAUUUACAGCCUGAUCGAGUUACAGAGUUCUGUAAGAAGAAUAAACUACAGCUAAUUAUCAGAGCCCAUGAAUGUGUAAUGGAUGGAUUCGAAAGAUUUGCACAGGGGCAGUUGAUUACGCUUUUCUCGGCCACAAAUUACUGCGGUGGGGACAAAACAAAAAUUAUCUAUGUUUGUAUUCUUGGAUGGGCUUGAGGUAACCAAUAAAACCAUUUUGGUGAUACUCUUUUCUAACAGGAACCGCGAACAAUGCGGGAGCUAUAUUGGUGGUUGGCAGAGGACUGGUGAUUGUUCCCAAGCUGAUUCAUCCUCUUCCACCUCCCAUCCUAUCUCCAGAGAAUUCUCCUGAACAUUCUGGAGACGACGCUUGGAUGCAGGUAACAACACACAUCUCUGUCUUUGUAUCUAAAUCUGAAACACAUUUAGUUCUGUAACAUGACAUUAUUCCUACCAUGUACACUAGCACUGUCUUUAUUUUAGCUGGUGAACGGGAACAAGUCGACCGUAGUUACUAGUCAUCUGUGUGCAUCCACAGCAUCGUCACUUGCUUAGAUAAAUUGAAUGGUCCUAUAACAAGCUUAUUAGAGAAAUUGAUAACUCCUGGAACGAUAUAGUAGUUUAUGUAGGCUGUACAUUUGUUUUGUUGUAGCUAAAAAAGAAUCAGACACUGGAACUAAAGUAUCUGUGUGCAGGAGCUAAAUAUCCAGAGACCGCCUACUCCAACACGAGGGAGGCCACAACCGGACUUUGACAGAAGCUCGCUUGCAUACAUCUAAAACUAAAUUGCAUUCGCGUUUUUUUUUUUUGAGUAAAAUAUCUGAAUCCGAAGAACCAAACCAAACUAGAUUUGAAAGAUAUACUAAACACAAACUAAAACUGAUUAAGUACUCAAAUAGAUCCGAGAGUUUAAUAGUUAGAAAACCAGACCUCAAUCUGGUCCAAACCAAAAUAUUUUGGGUACCAAAAAUAUCUAAAUCACAAUUAUAUAUUUAAUAUGUUAAUUAUUUUAAAUUUUAUAUCUAUUAGAUAUUUAAAAUUAUGAAAAUAUAUAAAAAUUAUCAGCACUGUCACAAGUAAAUAUCUAAAAAUAACAGAAAAAUGUUCAAAAUACUGAAAGUAUUUAUUUUUUCUCCAUCCAAAUAUUGAAAUUGAAAUAAUUUUAAAAUAUUUAGUCUUACAUUAUUCAAAUUUUUGUGUUUAUAUUAUUUUAUUUCAAAUUUUUAGGAUUUAAGUAUAUUUGGAUUUUUGUUAAAAAAUACAUAAUUAAGAUGGGUACCCGAAUUCGAAUUCACACCAAAUCCGGACCGAAACUGCAAUGAUUCCAACCAAAUCCGAAUCAAAUUUUGUAAAUAUACGGAUACGAUUUAAAUUUAUUACUCUAAAAAUCUGAAAUCCGAAUAGAUUAACAGAAUCCAAACGGAUAUAUGAAUGCCCAUCCCUAGAAAAAAUUAUACAACAAAUCUCUUAGUACAAUAUACAAUAAAAAAUAUAAUAAAUUAUUUCACUGUGAGCGGAUUUCUGCUUACUAACAAUAAUAUUUGAAAGUCGACUCAAUUAAUUUAAGUUAGUAAAAAUUUACCGUUAUGUACAUGAUUAAAUCUGAAAUACUGAGGGGUAGAAUCGACAUUUUACUACAGCAAUAAAGCCGUUGACUAGAAAAGGGAACUAAAUUACAGCUCAGCAGCAAAUGGCUUGUCUCUCUCCGCCCGCCCCUCCAAGUAGUUAAUUGAUCAGUACGGUGGUCUCCCUUCUGUGAUUCGCUAUCUCUAGGUUCCUGGGCGGUCCAGUAGUGGUUUCAAUGGGCACGAAACCGUUUGUACAUCCAGCUCCUCAGUACAAAACCAUAGAAACCUUUUGGGACGAGGAAGAAGACGCCCCUGGUCCUAGAUGCGCUCAUACACUUACAGCCGUUGCAGCUACCAAGACUCACGGCCCUCAUCUCAUACUCUUCGGCGGCGCCACCGCUAUUGAGGGCGGGAACUCUCCC